AAAUCAUUAACAUUAUCUAUUGUGUGUUAAAAUUCCCUCUUACUCUAUUCUUUUAUAUAUAUAUAUAUAUAGAAUUGAGCUCCUAUACUUUUAAAAGUACCAAGUUAUUGGUGCUUGUAGAUUUUUGGCUAUUGGAUUAAGAGAUGUGCGGUUAGGAUGAUGUGGGCCCCCUAGGGUUGAGUAGGUGGUUGGUUGAAUAGUAUAAUCUAACGGGUGAAAAUGAUUAAAGGUGCAAAUCUAAUGGUAAAAAAUUCACAUGCACCAAGAGCUUGGUGCUUUUACAAGUAUCAUAGCCGGACUCUAUAUAUAUAGAGAGAGAGAGAGAGAGAGAGUCCGGCUGGGAUACUAUCGAUAGCACCAAGCGUUUGGUGUUAUCAAGUUUUCUGCAGUUAGAUUAAACACUUUAACUAUUUUCACCCGUUAGAUUAUACUAUUAAACCAAUAACUCACUCAACCCUAGGGGACCCACAUCAUCCUAAUCGUAUAUUUUUUCAUCAAAGGGCCAAAAACCUAAUAGCACCAAAUGCUUUGUGCUAUUGAUAGUAUUUUAGCCUAGGUCUAUAAUUAUAUAUAUAGAGCAGGACUGAUGUGCUCUCAGGAGCACGGAGGCCUCCGUGCUCCUGAGCCCUUUUCGAUGAUCGAAUUUCUGAAUCGACGAUCGACUCCGGUAGACUUGAUCUAGCGUAUUUGAAAUUUCUAAAAAAUAAUUUUUGCGAUUUUUCGAUAUCAUUUACCUAGCAAUCGAAAGGAUUCAAAAUCAAUAAUUUUUAAUGGUUGAAAAUAAAAAUCCUAUAAAAAGUGGUGAUAUAGCAUUAAAAUUUUCAAUCAGAAAUAUUGAUCUUGUUGUAAAUAGUAUAAAAAAUUUUGUAUCAAAAUUUCAUCUGAUUUGAAUACUUCUACACCGUUAAACUUGAAAACGGCAUAUAUCAACUGUUAAAAAUUAUUAAUUUUGAACCAUUUCGAUCAUUAGAUAAAUGAUAUCAAAAAAUCACAAAAAUUAUUUUCUAGAAACUUCAAAUACCCUAGAUCAAGUCUAACGGAGCUGAUCGUUGAUUCGAAAAUUCCAUCAUUGAAAACGGCUCAGGAGCACGGAAGCAUCCGUGCUCCUAAGAGCACAGCAGUCCUGCUCUCUCUCUCUCUCUCUCUCUCUCUCUCUCUCUCUCUCUCUCUCUAUAUAUAUAUAUAUAUAUAUAUAUAUAUAAAUUACUCCGGCCAAACACCAUAAAUUAUU
rnacentral:lncRNA from 1 species